rnacentral:tRNA from 1 species
AGCCUUAUAUUCAAAAAUGAUAUAAAAUUGCAAGUUUUAAGGAGUAUAAAAAAAAAUACUAAGGCCU